CGGGGGCUCCGGGCUUCCUUUCCUCAAUGGACGGGACCUGAACGUGCUACAGAUCACCUUGAUCCUGCUACCUUCACAUUUCUCCUUCAUAAGGGAAUGCUGAAAAGUGCUGUGCCAGACUGAGAAGACCAUGGCUGUUUUCCAUCAACUGGCCCUUCCCAGGAACAGGUCCUUUUAAGAGCUGCCUGAAGAAGACUGCCUAGAGCAGGUUGUGAGGCCAUUCACUGCUAUUUGCAGGCUCCGGUCCCCAGACAUGGGGCAGCAGGACAGUGCUGUCUGCAGGGACUUCUAAUCCAUAGCUGCAGGCUGGCUCUGGUGCUGUCGUGGCAAAGAAGCCUUAGAAGGAACUGUUACCUGAGGAGAUCGUUGACUGUAGUCUCAGAACAGCCUGCAUGUGUGUAGCAUUGAAUCAGUUUGUAAAAAGAAGACUGGACAUUACCUUGUUUUUUGAUAAUAAAGUUUUAUUUAUUUUUCCUGA